rnacentral:rRNA from 1 species
AUUGAACGCUGGCGGCAUGCCUUACACAUGCAAGUCGAACGGUAACGCGGGGCAACCUGGCGACGAGUGGCGAACGGGUGAGUAAUGCAUCGGAACGUGGCCAGUAGUGGGGGAUAGCCCGGCGAAAGCCGGAUUAAUACCGCAUACGACCUACGGGUGAAAGGGGGGGAUCGCAAGACCUCUCGCUAUUGGAGCGGCCGAUGUCAGAUUAGGUAGUUGGUGGGGUAAAGGCCUACCAAGCCGACGAUCUGUAGCUGGUCUGAGAGGACGACCAGCCACACUGGGACUGAGACACGGCCCAGAUUCCUACGGGAGGCAGCAGUGGGGAAUUUUGGACAAUGGGCGCAAGCCUGAUCCAGACAUGCCGCGUGCGGGAAGAAGGCCUUCGGGUUGUAAACCGCUUUUGUCAGGGAAGAAAUCUUCUGGGUUAAUACCUCGGGAGGAUGACGGUACCUGAAGAAUAAGCACCGGCUAACUACGUGCUAGCCGCCGCCGUAAAAC